rnacentral:lncRNA from 1 species
CAACUUACACUGCAACUUGGAUUUACCUUCCCAGAGGUACCCAUCCUCUCACUCACUCAGCCAGACACUCAUUCAUUCACCCAAUCACCCACUACCCGCUCAUCCAUUCACCCACCCAUCCACCCACUCACCCACCCAUCCACCCACUCACCCACCCAUCCACCAUCCAUCCACCCAUCCACCCACUCACCCACCCGUCCAACCAUCCACCCAUUCAACCACUCACCCAUCCAUACACCCGUCUAUCCACCUAUCCACCUACUCACCUACCCAUCUAACCAUCCACCCAUCCAUCCAUCUAUCCACCCACUCACCCACCCAUCCACCACCCAUCUACCCGCCCACUCACCUGCCCAUCCGCCCACCCACCCACCCUCCAUCCAUCCAUCCACCCAUCCACCCACUCACCCACCCAUCCACCCACCCAUCUACCAUCCGCCCACUCACCCACUCACCUGCCCAUCCAUCCACCCACUCACCUAACCAUCCACUCUCACCCACCCAUCCACCAUCCAUCCACCCACCCAUUCACUCAUCCACCCAUCCACCCACCCACUCACCCACCCAUCUACCAACUCACCCAUCCAUCCACCCAUUCAUCCACCCACUCACCCAUCCAGCCACCCACCCACGCAUCCACCCAUCCACCAUUCAUCCACUCACCCAUUCAUCCAUCCAUCUGGCCACUAACCUACCCACACAUCCACCCAGUCACCCACCUUCCACUUCUCCCUCCACCCAUCCACUGUCCCUCUUUCUCCCUUCUCCUGUUUUCCUUAUAACACCUAUGUUGUAAGGGGCUUGCAGCCAGUUCAUCUAUCACAAUAGUCCUGGGCUUACAAAUAGCCCUGUUUUUUAAAAUGGGGACUUACACAAAAUUGGCAGCUUUUAAUUCUGCCAAGUAAGGAUAUUACAAAAUAUAUACAAUUGCCAUCUGGUAAUUAAUUCUUUCAGCAAAUAUGUAUGAGCACCUGCUUUAGCAGGUACUGGAGAUAUAGUGGAAAAUUUGCUUGCAGGGUGAUUGCAUUCUAGUGUGUCAGGAAAAGGGAAAACAGGUAGUAAACAAAGAAGACAGUGUCUAAAGUUUAAUGGGAAGGGCAGGUUUCCUCAUAUAGACCUGGGAAGAUGUCGUUUGAAUUGAGUUCUGGAUGACAAGAAGGCUGAGAAAAUGUCCCAGAAAGAGAGAAGGUUGAGGAACGCGGGAGCUGGACAAGGAGGUCCCUGGGAGUAGAGUUGGUGGGCAUGAAUUGAGGCUGGAGAAGUGGACCAGGCAGAUGGUGUAGACGACAGUGUGCAUUUUUAUUCUAAACAAUGGGAGAACAUUGAAGAUUUUGAGGAGGAGAGUAAACCUUUCUGAUUGAUAUUUUUGAAAGACCACUCUGGCUUCUGUGAGGAGGGUGGAUGAUGGAGGCCCAGAGUAGAGGGAAGAGAUGAGUUACAAAGCUGCUGCUGAAGGAGUCCAGGUGAGGGUGACGGUGGCCAUGGAGACAGUGACAAGUUGACAGAUCCAGGUUGUAGUUUUGGGGAAGAAUUUACAGUAUGGAUCAGAUGUGGGGAAAUGAGGGGAGGGGAGGAGUGACCAGGUGAAUGGUGGGGUUUUUCACUGAGACGGGGGAGACUGGACAGAACCAGAUUUGCGGGGAAAUUAGAGAGUUCCAUUUUGGACAUGGUAAAUUUGAGAUGGCUAUAAUUCAUCCAAGUGUAGAUGUCUAGUUGCAGUUGAAUAUAUGAGUCUGAAAUAUGGGGAGAGGAUUGGGCUGGAGAUGCUCUGUGGGAGUAGAGAAAGGAGGAAAGUAGAAUGGAGAAGAGGCCUUAGGCAGAGUCCCUAGGGAAUUCUAACUUUUAGAGCUAAGACUCAAGAGGAUUAAGAAGUGAUGAGUGAGUAGAAGGAAAAAGAAGAGGGUGGGGGUGACAAGACAUCAACCUCCAACCCACAGAAGUGCUACUGUGACCCCUGAAGCCUUUCUUCCCAGAGUGGAGAGGAUGGGGCCAAAUUCUAGGACCUUCCACAAAUCUUUAUUGAGCAAAGCCCUGUUCUGAACCCGGGACAACUAUGGAUGCAGAGGAAGCCUGGUAAACAAGCAGACACAGGAUGGUUUGUGGAACAGCAUAGCCCUUCCUCUCUUCGACCUUCGCUCUUGACUUCUGCAGACCUCUUUCAGAAUAAACAAACCCUCAAACCAGCUUGCCUUUUAGUUUCAUUUCUCUUUGUUUUGUGUCUUUAUACACAAAUUAUUAUCAUUUUGCCACAUUUGUUCCAUCUC